CCUACGGGAGGCAGCAGUGGGGAAUAUUGGACAAUGGGGGCAACCCUGAUCCAGCCAUGCCGCGUGUGUGAAGAAGGCCCUCGGGUUGUAAAGCACUUUCAGUGAGGAAGAACGCCUGGUGGUUAAUACCCAUCAGGAAAGACAUCACUCACAGAAGAAGCACCGGCUAACUCCGUGCCAGCAGCCGCGGUAAUACGGAGGGUGCGAGCGUUAAUCGGAAUUACUGGGCGUAAAGCGCGCGUAGGUGGCUUGAUAAGCCGGUUGUGAAAGCCCCGGGCUCAACCUGGGAACGGCAUCCGGAACUGUCAAGCUAGAGUGCAGGAGAGGAAGGUAGAAUUCCCGGUGUAGCGGUGAAAUGCGUAGAGAUCGGGAGGAAUACCAGUGGCGAAGGCAGCCUUCUGGACUGACACUGACACUGAGGUGCGAAAGCGUGGGUAGCAAACAGGAUUAGAUACCCCUGUAGUC
rnacentral:rRNA from 1 species